UGACCCUAUAGAACAGGAUUUGCUUUAGCAGGGCUCUGGUGCCUGCCCAGUCUGCCCUUUGGGUGUGUCUUUUAUGGAAGUGGUUGGGUAGUUUUUGGUGUGGUCUGUAGCUGGCCACUGGGUGUGUUGGUUCUGGAGCUUCCUGUAAGGAGCUCUGUUGCAGUCCAAGGUCAGCCACUGCCUGGGGCCACUUGGUAUGAGCUACAAGGUGACCUGCAAAUGAUUACCACUUGUGCUGCUGGGAUUGGAGAUGCCUGGGAGAGAUUAAGUUGACGAUCAAGGCCAGCUGCCGCUAAUGCCAUGUUUGAGGCUGCUUAGCAAGAGAUAUGGGGCAAGCCAAGGCCAAAUGGUGCCUGUUUGGGGUUUGUGAGCCUUUGAGAGAUUUUAUGAAAGUCCACAGCAUGUGCCAAGACAGUCCGUUUGUAUGGAAAUGGCUUGGAUGGACUUGUAAUUUGAGUGAGGGAGGGUCUCAGGGAGUUACCAGGGCGGGGUGAAUAGUAUUAAUUGCGUUGAUGGGAACUCAUAUAUAGCAGCCACCUGUGUCUGCAUGCUGGCUGUGGGUCGCCUCAGCACGCAGACAAAGGAACAAUGUCUGCCAACACUUCUGCCUGGGAGAAAGCUGCCCUCACCCUAAAGCCAGAAAAUUCAGUUCUUCCACAUAUGUCCCUGAUGACUUUGAGCUGCUCUACCCAUGACGGAGCUCAGAGCGAGUGAACCCAUCAGCAAAUACUUAAAGGCCAUGCUCCAGAUGUUGCUGGGAUCACGCGCAUUGGCUCUCUACUGAGGAGUGUACCUUCUGCUCGGAACAUGCAAG